rnacentral:tRNA from 1 species
GGGGACGUAGCUCAGCUGGUAGAGCAGUCGGCUCUUAACCGAUCGGUCGUGGGUUCGAAUCCCACCGUCCUCA